GACGAACGCUGGCGGCGUGCUUAACACAUGCAAGUCGAGCGGGAAACUUCGGUUUCCAGCGGCGGACGGGUGAGUAAGACGUGGGCAACCUGCCUCACAAUGAGGGAUAGCCCUCCGAAAGGAGGAUUAAUACCUCAUAACACAAGAGAAACGCAUGUUUUUCUUGUCAAAGAAUUUCGUUGUGGGGUGGGCCCGCGGGGCAUUAGCUUGUUGGUGAGGUAACGGCUCACCAAGGCUUCGAGGCGUAGCCGACCUGAGAGGGUGAUCGGCCACAUUGGAACUGAGACACGGUCCAGAUUCCUACGGGGGGCAGCAGUGGGGAAUAUUGCACAAUGGAGGAAACUCUGAUGCAGCAACGCCGCGUGAGUGAUGAAGGUCUUGGGAUUGUAAAACUCUGUCUUCUGGGACGAUAAUGACGGUACCAGAGGAGGAAGCCACGGCUAACUACGUGCCAGCCGCCGCUGUAA
rnacentral:rRNA from 1 species